AGUGAACGCUGGCGGUAGGCCUAACACAUGCAAGUCGAACGGCAGCACAGUAAGAGCUUGCUCUUACGGGUGGCGAGUGGCGGACGGGUGAGGAAUGCAUCGGAAUCUACUUUUUCGUGGGGGAUAACGUAGGGAAACUUACGCUAAUACCGCAUACGACCUACGGGUGAAAGCAGGGGAUCUUCGGACCUUGCGCGAUUGAAUGAGCCGAUAUCGGAUUAGCUAGUUGGCGGGGUAAAGGCCCACCAAGGCGACGAUCCGUAGCUGGUCUGAGAGGAUGAUCAGCCACACUGGAACUGAGACACGGUCCAGACUCCUACGGGAGGCAGCAGUGGGGAAUAUUGGACAAUGGGCGCAAGCCUGAUCCAGCCAUACCGCGUGGGUGAAGAAGGCCUUCGGGUUGUAAAGCCCUUUUGUUGGGAAAGAAAAGCAGCAGGUUAAUACCCCGCUGUUCUGACGGUACCCAAAGAAUAAGCACCGGCUAACUUCGUG
rnacentral:rRNA from 1 species